rnacentral:ncRNA from 1 species
AAAGUUUAUUCUAGCUUAAGUAUUUUUGUUUUAUUGUUAUAUAUAUAUAUUAUUUUUUGAAAGUAAUUUAUUAUGGGUUAAAUAUUAUAAUUUUUAUGUUAAUAGUAAAAUAUAGGUUUAUGUAUUAAAGAAAUUUAGACUUAGAGAUAAAAAUUUAUUAACAAAAAUUGUGCCAGCAGUUGCGGUUAUACAGUUAAUAAAAUAAAUAAAUUUAAUUUAUAAAUAGAAUUUAUAUUUUAAAAAAAAGAGAUUAAAUUAUUAAGUGAAAUUUUAAUUUAGUUAUAAGUUUAUAAAGUGAUAAAUAGGUUUAUUUUAUAAAAAUUUGAAACGAAAAUAGGAUUAGAUACCCUAUUAUUCAAAUUAUUUAAAAGAGAUUAAAUUAAUAGUAAUUAUGAAAGUUAAAGAAUAUGGCAGUAUUUUAUUCAGUUUAGAGGAACCUGUUUAUUUAUUGAUAAUCCACGUUUUAUUUUACUUAAUUUUAUUUAAUUUAUAUAUCGUCGUUAAAAAAGUUUUUUAAAAGAAUUUAUAAAAUUUAAUAUAUUAAAUAUUAAUCUUAAAUCAGAUCAAGAUAUAGUUUAUAGUUAAGGUGUAAAUGGGUUAUAAUAAAUUUAUUUUUAGAUUUUAGAUGGAAUUUUAAAUUGAAUUUAGAUUUAAAUGUAAUUUAAUUUAUUUAAAUUAAAUGAUUGUAUGUUUUAUAAUAUGUACAUAUUGCCCGUCGCUCUCAUUAUAAGUUGAGAUAAGUCGUAACAAAGUAAGGGUACUGGAAAGUGUUCUUAGAAGU